UUUUGAGAAUCUGGCUUUCGACGAAGGUUUGGAACAGAUCCUUGAAGAGCUAUUUGACGAGGCCCAAUUAGUUACCUGUGAUGAUGACUGCGAUGUUAAUAACGGUGAACACGUUGGUUCUGAC